CUCCCCUCGCCCCAGCCAAAACGUCCACAUCCACUCUCCUCGCACACCUUCUUCCUCCUCUCGUCCCCGACGGCGUGUUGCCGUGCUCAGCAUGACUCCACAUCCUGGCCGCCUUGCCCUACCCCCGCCUUGCCCUUCCCGCCGCCCGCCAUCCAUCACGCCUCCUUCCACAGGAACGCGGGCCUACUCUGCUACACAGCGCCGCCUCCAGGCGCCUCGCUCGUCCGUCCUCGCUGCCGCCCGGCUUGGUCCUUCUCACCGCGGCUGGGCGCACACCCCUACUCCACUACUACUUUUUUCGGGGGUGCAUGGACUGUGGAGUGAAGACCAGGGUUGGCCUCUACAACUAAAAGACCCUGACGCCGCCGCCUGGACGCGGACCAUGGCUGGCCACCUCGAGCCUCGGCGGGAACCCUAGGUCCCGCUCCAGGGGUGGACGGCGAGGACCGGCGUCGGCGUCAGCGGGGUGGAGGCGGAUGUAACGCUCGACCAGACCCCGAUGUUGCAAUCCAGACCAAUCGCCACGAUCCGGCCUUCUCUACAAUAGCCCCAGCAGACCCAGUUCUUCACCCUCCGCAUUGCAAACCAGAUCCGCUCCCACACAUGUCAAGUCUCCAGAUCGCCUUCCCCAAUGCCCCACUUGUAUCAUCUGCGCCCCACCUAGAUCACGUGCACUGGUCUAAGGGAUGCAACGGUGAAGGCUCUUGCUGUUGACGAAUCAGGGCCGACGCGCAGCAACGGAUUCUGCUCAGGGAUAGAUAGUGAACCAUGCUAAUAGGCUGUCGAUUUGUCAAGGUCUGGCAUUGAUUCUCGUCCUCCGCUAAAGUCGCCUUGCACCGGCCCAUUCUUGAACGCCUCCCCUACAGGCCCUACUUAGCAUGCCAGAGGUACGGCUCCGUCUGACUGUUCCGUCCAUCCACCGCCACGGUCGUUUCUCUCCUGUCCAGAUCCCUCUCUUGCAAGGUUUCUCUAAGGUACACUUGGUUCUCUGUGGCUUCCCUUUCGGAAUGUGUUGGUACGGUGAUGGUGUUUUGAUUUGUGUUCGUCGCUUUGGCGGAUCUGGUCGUGUGCAGAGUGGGCAAACAAGAUGAUGGGCGGGUUUCUCUCUAGGGUCCUCCUGUAAGCGCUCUCUUGCUCCUAAUCUUGUAACGUGUUCUCCCAAUCUUGUAGAGAGUGUUUUGAGUUGUUGUGCUCUUUUUAGUGACCUGCUUCUGUGCUUUGUCAAUAACUAGAUUUGAUCCUCUUCAUCUCUGUGUUAAUGAAUUAUCUCCCUUUUUGAUGUAAGCGCAUCUAAAGUGUCAGUCUGUUGAAGGAUACUUUGAUACAGAAAUCAUGCAUCUUUAAAUUGUCAGCUUUUCUUUCUAAUUUGUCGCACUUUAAAAAGCAAAACCUACAAUAUCAGAUUCAACGAUACUUUAUAAGUCAGUGAGGUGAUGUUCCUCAUAUGUGCAUACUGCCUAGAUUUGUAGCUGUGAGCGCAGGAAUGGCACUGACAUGUCUCAUUGGCGACUUUGUGCAGUUCGUUAUGAGGCAUUGGCAAGUGUGCAGGGAUGCCUUGGAUGAGCUUGUGCGUCCUAUGGUGUAGGAUAUUUAUGAGUUAAUAUCUUAGUUGUGUGAUAGAAGUUAAGGUUACUGAAUGAAUUGGAAAAUAUAAAUUAUAAUGGUGGUAGCUUCAAAUCCUAAAUGGUCACCCCAUGGAGUGGGAAAUAGGUUUUUCCCUAAUACUGUACUCUGAUUCUGGCAUGCUAGGAGCAAACUAUAGAUUUGAUAGCUUUUUUGUGUGUUUCGAAACAAACUAAGAUUUCUCAUGAUAUCAUCACCAAUGCAGAUUAUAUAAUCAAAAUAUGUUCGACACAUUAGUCUUAAUCCAUAUUUUCUUUUCUUGUCAAUCUGCGAUGAUGAGUAAAUAACUCUACAGUACCAUGACUUUCUACCAUAAGCAGUGGUGCUUGCUUAUGGUAGCUGAUAACUGAUAUCUCCACGAUGUACCAUGGACCUAGCAAACCCGUAGAAGCAUACAUGUGCAAGUGAUGCAAGAGCCCAUAUUAUCCAGGAGGUGGCUUCGAUCCUACCAUCCAGGAGCAUCUAUUACGGGAUUCAAACCUGCUGGUGCCACGACUAGCUAAUCAUGGAUGAAGCGUUUCUCUCCUGUUAUAGAAAAGAUUAUUAGUAUAUCAUAACCAGUAGUUAUAUUAUAAUUGUAAUUGCAAGUCAUCUUAAAAUACAUGUAAUUAGCUGUAUACUUUUUAAGGUAAUAAUUAUUAGACGGGCUAUGUUUGGUUUCAUGUAGCCGAACAUGUUUAGAGUGUUCAUUGAAUCUGUUGUACAAUUAGUAUCAUCUCAUGGAAUCGGGCAAGUGAUGCUACAUUUUUAUUUGAACACACACAUGUGUAUGAUACUAUACAACAAAAGUACCCCCAUAAAGUUUAAUAGAAUACUUCGUUUGAA